AUUGAACGCUGGCGGCAGGCUUAACACAUGCAAGUCGGACGGUAACAGGGAGGAAGCUUGCUUUCUUUGCUGACGAGUGGCGGACGGGUGAGUAAUGCUUGGGAAUCUGUUUUAUGGAGGGGGAUAACUACGGGAAACUGUAGCUAAUACCGCGUAAUAUCGAGAGAUUAAAGUGUGGGACCGUAAGGCCACAUGCCAUAGAGUGAGCCCAAGUGGGAUUAGGUAGUUGGUGGGGUAAAGGCCUACCAAGCCGUCGAUCUCUAGCUGGUCUGAGAGGAUGACCAGCCACACUGGGACUGAGACACGGCCCAGACUCCUACGGGAGGCAGCAGUGGGGAAUAUUGCACAAUGGGCGCAAGCCUGAUGCAGCCAUGCCGCGUGAAUGAAGAAGGCCUUCGGGUUGUAAAGUUCUUUCGGUGGUGAGGAAGGUUGACGUGUUAAUAGCGCGUUGAUUUGACGUUAGCCACAGGAGAAGCACCGGCUAACUCCGUGCCAGCAGCCGCGGUAAUACGGAGGGUGCGAGCGUUAAUCGGAAUAACUGGGCGUAAAGGGCACGCAGGCGGUUACUUAAGUGAGGUGUGAAAGCCCUGGGCUUAACCUAGGAAUUGCAUUUCAUACUGGGUAACUAGAGUAUUUUAGGGAAGAGUAGAAUUCCACGUGUAGCGGUGAAAUGCGUAGAGAUGUGGAGGAAUACCGAAGGCGAAGGCAGCUCUUUGGGGAAAUACUGACGCUCAUGUGCGAAAGCGUGGGGAGCAAACAGG
rnacentral:rRNA from 1 species